rnacentral:lncRNA from 1 species
CCCACCUCAGCCUCCCAAAGUGCUGAGAUUACAGGCAUUAGCCACCACGCCUGGCCGGAAUCUCCAUCUUUAGCAGUCUAGCCAGAUGAUCCUAGUGCACACAAAAGCCUGAGGACAUGUGACCCUGAGCUAGGUAGGUCUCAACAAGCAACUACUGAGUGGAAAAUCCCCAGGUUGGGGUCCUGACCACUUCCUCCUCAGAGGUCAUGGAGCAGACGGCACCUGCAGUGUGUGCGUGGGUGGUGGUGGUGGGGGGGGGAGUUGGGAGGGGGACAUAAGAAUUUUCCCUUCCAAAAGAGGGGUGGGGAGCAUAGGGCUGGGGUGGGGUAUCCGGACUACACUCUGGAAGAGGGAUGACAGCUUCCUGAGUCAACGGAAACUUGGUAGCAAGAAAGCUGCAGAGGAGGCUGCCGGCAGUACAGGAUGCAGGGAGAACCCAGGCCUGGGGUUGAGGCCAGGAGACUCAAUUCCAGCUUUACUGUGUGCCUUUAGCAGGAAUGUCAUGGGUAGAAGCUGCUGGCGUGUCAUCUACAGCCUUGGAGGACAGGAUUGUGGCCAAGCAUGAGGAGGUUCCAGAAGUUUCAGUUCAGUAUGAAGAAAAAUUUCAGAACCAUCACAAACUGAUGAGGAAACUGAGGCAUGGAGAAGCCAAGCCACUCUUAAGGUCACUUAAUGGAUCUUCCAUGUAGUCAGGACUGAACCAGCAUCCAACCCAGAGCCCGGUGUGGUCGACCCACAAAUGUUUGCCAAGUUAGCCAUGCCCUUGUUGUCUACUGGUUGAUUUCAGAAUUACCCAAGCCUGCACCAGCCUCUUCCUUAUCAUUCACUUCUGUCACCUGGCUUGCUACAUGGAUGUGCUCAUGAAGGGCUGCUGAAUGACUGACCCACCAAGUACCUGUCACCUGAGGCCCAGCUUUGGCAGCUGUGCUGAGCCCCUUCUCAGAGGUCCUGCUUGGAACUAUGGAGCUAUAGCCACAGCCUUCGGGAAUGGAGAGUUCAGACAUCAUUCCUGGUACUCUGCAGUGUCACACAAAGGGGGUUGGCCACGAGAUGCCUCCUGCACCAGUCCCCACCCCCCCUCCGCUUCCUACCCUAUUGCCCAAGGGAGGCUGGUAACCUGUUGGGGAUAGGAAGGCCCCUCCUUACCACUGUGGCUGGCAACUCCCCAGAAGGCUUGUUUCCUUGACCCCUACCCACUCUGCCUGGCCUUCUCCUGAGUCCUCCUGGGGGAUGUGACCACAUUAGCCAUGGUCUUUGCCAAGAAGAAGGGUUUAGGCAGGACCACACGAUCCAGAUGGUUCCUCAGCACCCACCCCCAGCCUGCCAGGAACCCUAUUCAUUUAUUCCCAGCAUUUCAACUUGUCCCAAUAAGGCAGUGACCUAGUCCCAGGCCAGGCCUCUCAGGGUGGUCUAGAACAUCUAGUCGGCCAAGCCCAACAGGCACCAUAGACCACAGAACUCAGCAGACCCCCAGAUCCUUGAACCUGGAGGGACAUGAGAAGGCCUCAUGGUCAAGCUCCUGUCCCUAGCCAGGAUAAUCCUUUCUAAAAGUGCCUGCCUCAUUCCUUGCUGCCUGCCACCUCCAUUCUCCACAAAGAACCCCCUCACGCUGUGCUUUCAGUGGCUCAGCCUUUGCUUAGGCCUUGGCCAUGAGUGGGUAACUCCUGCCAUACCUUCCAAACCACCCUUCCUCAAAAACCCUUCCUGCAUCUCUCAAGGCUAGAUGUGAUGCUCCUACUGCUCCCUGGGCCAACCCCUAGCAUGGCUCUUAUUUGUCCCUCAUUCACUCAAAUAUCUACUUAAGCACCUGCUCCAUGAUCUGUAUAAGGCAAUGAGCACCAGAUGGGGAGUGCAGAAAGCCAGGCUCAACUGCACAGCUUUGCCACCAACUGGCUGUGUGACUUUGGACCCAUCGUUCCUCACUGAGCCUCAGUUUCCCCGGUAAAGUGGGAAAGAUUCUGCAGCUCAGCCUAACUUCCAGGGCUUCUGUGAGACUGGGCGGGAUGUGAAAGCAUGCUGUAAACACUCAGGGUGAGUCAUGGUUAUCAGAACCUAACCCCUCUGUAGCCUGAGCUCAUUUUUGUCCAUCCCAUCCCUGGAGUCCCCCUCUCUCCCAGGGGGCUGGUAGCCUGUUGGGGAUGAACUUGGGAGCUCAUGCCUUCCAAGGGGUUGGCACCUGGGUGAGAAAUUGGGCAGGAGCACAGCCUACAGGGAUGAGAACUUUAAACAAAAACAGCCCAUAAAUCUUGCCAUAUAGGGGCAGGGGCCUGGCAUGGCUGGGGCCAAGAAGGCAUGCCAGGCUGUUCUCUGAGGCAACAGGAGUAAAAGAUUUUACGCUAAAGUCAUCAAGAAGCCACUGGAAGCACAGCGGGAGGAGGUGGAGACAAAGAACACGGAGCUAGGGGACUAGAUACCUGGGUUCUGCUCUGUGUUGCUCUGUGACCUCAGUCAUGCUCCUUCCCUUUUCUAGGCCUUAACCUCCUAUCUGUAUAGUGGGUGCGUCAGCCCAGGUAGUACCCAAAGGCCCUUUCCAACUCAGACAGGCUGUGCCAGCUUUACUUGCCCUUCAGAGCUUUGGCUGUGCCAGGGACAGGCAGGAACAGCUGGUAAGUCUCUCAGAAGGAGCAGGAGCCAAAGAACCUGUGCUUACUGUGACCUCCUCUUCCAGCUUGUGGAAGGGUCAGGCUCUUCCCCGUUUCCUCCACCUCUAGGUAGAUGGAAUUCACCCUUGGUCCACUUUGCAAGCUACAAGGUUGACACAGGUGCAGAGAACACAGACUCUCAGAUGCUUAGGGAUCAUCCUGCUCAUCACUCCCCAUACAGGGAGAAACUGAGACCCAGGGAGACACAAGGGCUUGCUUGGGGUCACCCAGUAUGUUUAUGGCACCACCAGGACUUACACCCAGGGCUAAUGUCUGCCUACCACUUGCUCAGUUACAAGUCUCAGCCAAGGCUCAGGUCUCUCCGCCUUGUCAUCCCUGUCAGCCAGCCCCUUCCUUCUACUGAUAGAGCCAAGCCUCAGUUUCCCUGUUGGAGUGAGUAAAGACAUGAGGGUUUCUAGGUCAGGAGUUGGUGAGAAUUUCAAUCUGGUAAUAAAGGGAGAGCAAGGAAAGCCAGGAGGUGUCAGAGAAGGGAGUAGAAUCCUCCAGGCUAGGACUACUGUUAGGCAGAAAAACCUGUACUCAGGGCACAAGCAAAGCAGGAGCAGAGGGAGGACUAAAGUUCAUUGCAAAACUAUUAAACACUGUCACAGUUUGGGGCCUCUCAAGGUCUCAAGGGGGAAUGAUGAUAAAGUUUAAGGGAUCACCUAGUCCCACCUGGCUAGGGGGCAGGUAGUGGUAAGAAAAGGGGCCAGAAUUUGAGGGUCCUUCUUCCCCUCUGCCUCACAGUGUCCCCUGAGGAGGCUAUCUUUCUAGCUCCAGGCUCUGACCUUCUGGGCUCGUCAGACCCCAAGGGGCAGCUGGUCUCACUGCAAGAAACCUGAGAAUUGUCCCCUGGGCCCUGACCCAGCUCCAAGGCCCCUUGGGGGAAGGACAGGAAGGGAGGAGAGGGCCACAGAACGCAGUAGAUCUCCUCCCUCUUUGGCCCCUCCCAGCUACCCCAAGGGCAGCCCACACUCACCAGCUCUGGGGCCUGCAAGAGCCCUAAGACCAGCGCCUCAAACUUUAAAGCGUCAUCACCUGGGCAUAUUGUUAAAAGGCAGCUUCUGUCUUGGCAAGACUGGGCCUGAGCCUGAGAUUCUGCAUUUCUGACAGGUCCCCAGGGAUGCUGAUACUGCGAGUCUGUGGAACACUCUUCGAGCAGCCCUGAGAUUAUCAGCCUUUAACCCCCGGGGGGAGGAAGCCGAAGGCCCAGAGAGGUCAAGUCACUUGUCCAUGGCCACACAGCGAACAGCCCCAGACCGAAAGCAGAGGGCACCUGCCACAGACACACGACAUCUCCCCACCCGAGGCAGCGGGAAUCAGCUGCCUUUCCCUGGCCCGGGUGCCGUGUUUGUAAACUCGGCUGCUUGGUGCGGCUCGGGCCGGGGUAAAGGGCGCCUCCCAGCAGAGCCUCCCUCGUCUCUGAGCUGGCCUCUCCAGGUUCUCCGUCCGGUAUCCCGGGCCGACCAGAGAGAGCCCGGGGCGCCGAGUCCUCUGCGGCGGAGCGAUUCCGCACUCCCCUCUCCUCUGAAAGCAAACUUCUCCGCCGGCGCC